AUUGAACGCUGCGGCAUGCCUUACACAUGCAAGUCGAACGGCAGCACGGGGCAACCUGGUGGCGAGUGGCGAACGGGUGAGUAAUGCAUCGGAACGUACCUUUCAGUGGGGGAUAACGUAGCGAAAGUUACGCUAGUACCGCAUAUUCUGUGAGCAGGAAAGCAGGGGAUCGCAAGACCUUGCGCUGAUUGAGCGGCCGAUGUCAGAUUAGCUAGUUGGUGAGGUAAAGGCUCACCAAGGCGACGAUCUGUAGCGGGUCUGAGAGGAUGAUCCGCCACACUGGAACUGAGACACAGUCCAGACUCCUACGGGAGGCAGCAGUGGGGAAUUUUGGACAAUGGGGGCAACCCUGAUCCAGCCAUGCCGCGUGAGUGAAGAAGGCCUUCGGGUUGUAAAGCUCUUUCGGCCGGGAAGAAAUCGCACGGGCUAAUACCCUGUGUGGAUGACGGUACCGGAAUAAGAAGCACCGGCUAACUACGUGCCAGCAGCCGCUGUAAGAC
rnacentral:rRNA from 1 species